rnacentral:lncRNA from 1 species
CAUCCCAUUCAAUUUUAGAUUUGAAUGAGGUGAUGCCAUCAAUAAUAUUAGUUGGUGUGUGAGGUCCAUUGACAAUAACAGUCCAUAAAUUAUAGUCAAGUGCUUGAAUAAAAAUAUGCAUACGUGUUUUCCAAUAAGUAAAGUUUGUGCCAUUGAAAAGAGGUGGUCUGUUGGUAGAUUGCUCUUCGGCAAUGGAAGAUCCCAUAGAGGCUACCAUGACCUUUAACUCUGGAUUGUUAGAUCAAUAACUGACUGUGAAUACCAGGCUCUGAUACCACUUGUUGUCCAAAGGUGCAGCCCAAGAGGGGGGGUGAAUUGGGUCUCUUAAAAAUUAAUAAAAUGAAGUGAAUAACUCAUUGAAAACUU